AGAUGGGGAGAAAGCAAAGCGAAGGCUGAGGAUAUAUAAGGAGGAUAGGCAGAGACAGCGAUGGAGAGUGAAGGGAUAAGAAGAAGGGGAGGAGGAAGACGAGGGGCUAAUAGCAAAUAGUGGGUCAGAGAAAAUUUGUAAUAGUUGGGUAGAGGCAGAGGAUUUAUUAGAGGAAGUGAAAGGACUGAAAGUGGGUAGGAGUGAAAAGUGAGUGGGAGUGAGGAAGGUGAAAAUAGGAAUAGGAGAGAUAGACAAGAUAAGAAUGAGGCGAGGAGGGCGGGAGAUUGGGAAAUGGUUUUGAGUACCUCUGAGUCUACAGGUGACUGGUUUGGCAGCAGUGGGGGGAGAAGGCAAGUGAGUGAAAGUAUCAUAGAAAAUGGAAAAGGUUGCACAGUGCAAAUCUGUGUGGUGUUGAGAGUGGUGGAGCUGAUAGAGUGGAUUGGUCAAGUGCAGAGACAGAGCAGUGGAAAAAGAAAAAAAAACCCACAGUCAAUGUCUGACAAGAGAGAGGAGAGAGGAGACCGGUGUGCCUGCGCUGGUGUAAACAUGACAGGAGGGCUUUUACCGCCCGGAGACAGGAGUGUGGCUGAGGAGAGCAGUGGUAUAUGCUGGACAGAGUUUCGUGGAAGUGGAGGGAGAGGAUUUUGAGGACCCAAAUUCAAAACCCAAACUGUGAACACCGAGAGCGAGAGCUUUGAAUUAACAGCAGCUCGCGGUUUCUCUGCUAGCUUGAGGAGAAGAUGAAGGGAGCUUUCAGCCUCUUAGAAGAUGAGGGUUAAAGAACGGAGAGAUUAAGGAAGUGAGAGAGCGACUGAAAGGAGGACUGGGGAUUAUGUCAUCUACAAUUGAUGUGCUCUCUUAAUGUACCUUUAAACAUGUGCCACUGGGGCCUGC